rnacentral:rRNA from 1 species
UACGUAGGGGCAAGCGUUGUCCGGAUUUAUUGGGCGUAAAGAGCGUGUAGGCGGCUUGGUAGGUCCGCUGUGAAAACUCGAGGCUCAACCUCGAGAUGUCGGCGGAAACCACUUGGCUAGAGUCCGGAAGAGGAGAGUGGAACUCCUGGUGUAGCGGUGAAAUGCGCAGAUAUCAGGAAGAACACCUAUGGCGAAGGCAGCUCUCUGGGACGGUACUGACGCUGAGACGCGAAAGCGUGGGGAGCGAACAGG